UACGUAGGGGGCAAGCGUUAUCCGGAUUUAUUGGGCGUAAAGAGCUCGUAGGCGGCCGUUCGCGUCGGCUGUGAAAGCUCAGGGCUCAACUCUGAGAUGCCAUUCGAUACGGGACGGCUAGAGGUAGGUAGGGGAGAGUGGAAUUCCUGGUGUAGCGGUGAAAUUCGUAGAUAUUGGGAAGAACACCAGUGGCGAAGGCGGCUCACUGGCCCGUAACUGACGCUGAGGUGCGAAAGCGUGGGGAGCAAACAGG
rnacentral:rRNA from 1 species